rnacentral:rRNA from 1 species
GACGAACCGAGCGAACGUUGUUCGGAAUCACUGGGCUUAAAGGGCGCGUAGGCGGGUGCUCAAGUCCGGGGUGAAAUCCUCCAGCUCAACUGGAGAACUGCCUCGGAUACUGGGUGCCUCGAGGGUGGCAGGGGUAUGCGGAACUAUCGGUGGAGCGGUGAAAUGCGUUGAUAUCGAUAGGAACUCCGGUGGCGAAGGCGGCAUACUGGUCCACUUCUGACGCUGAGGCGCGAAAGCCAGGGGAGCAAACAGG